rnacentral:rRNA from 1 species
CGGCCGCGGGANNUCGAUUAGAGUUUGAUCCUGGCUCAGAAUCAACGCUGGCGGCGUGCCUAACACAUGCAAGUCGAACGAGAAAGUGGAGCAAUCCAUGAGUAAAGUGGCGACCGGGUGAGUAACACGUGACUAACCUACCUUUCAGUGGGGAAUAACCUCGGGAAACCGGGGCUAAUACCGCAUAACGUCUUCGGACCAAAGGAGCAAUUCGCUGGAAGAGGGGGUCGCGGCCGAUUAGCUAGUUGGUGGGGUAACGGCCCACCAAGGCAAUGAUCGGUAGCCGGCCUGAGAGGGCGCACGGCCACACUGGAACUGAAACACGGUCCAGACUCCUACGGGAGGCAGCAGUGGGGAAUUUUGCGCAAUGGGGGAAACCCUGACGCAGCAACGCCGCGUGGAGGAUGAAGCCCCUUGGGGUAUAAACUCCUUUCGAUCGGGACGAUUAUGACGGUACCGGAUGAAGAAGCACCGGCUAACUCUGUGCCAGCAGCCGCGGUAAUACAGAGGGUGCAAGCGUUGUUCGGAAUUAUUGGGCGUAAAGGGUGCGUAGGCGGUGCGGUAAGUCUGUUGUGAAAUCUCCGGGCUCAACUCGGAGCCUGCAACGGAAACUGCCGUGCUGGAGUAUGGGAGAGGUG